rnacentral:misc_RNA from 1 species
AGUAGCGUUGCGCCACGGUGAAGACUUACCUGUGUUCAGUUAGCCGCUCUGGAAGAUGAGCCGCUGCUUUGUCUACUGAGGAGGCGCGAACAAUAGGUACCACGUCGAAAACCUACGCUUUCAUUGAUGGGCCACAGCUAAAUGCCUAGUAGGACCUUUCCAAUUGUUCUCAUUUCUUACAAGAGUCCUGAAGCCAUUAUCUCCUCUUCGAUUGGCUUCAGAAACUUUACAGGGCAUUAAUAAGGGGGAGAGGUUGCAGUGAAAGAGCCGCCGCGCUACGUACAUAAUAGGCCAUCAGCCUAUUGGGGAUUUGUUUGCCAAGCGCGACGCACGCCGCUCCAUCACAACAUCUCCCUCGUCUUGUAGUAACACACUUUAUUUCACAGCGCGCCUCUCUGAGAGACGCUUCUCUCUCUCCAUCUCUCUUUUUAAUAAAUGAGGAUCGAGAAGUUCAUAAAGAGGAAUCACGACGAACUAUUAUAUUUACCUUUAAUCUAUUGACUCUUUAUCGCAAUCUUCAGAUAGAUCUUUGAUAGCGUUGCCCUUGAUUGUUUUUUCCUACAGUCUACGGAACGAUUGGAAUACCUUCGGAUAACUGUCAUCUCAUUUGGACGGCAGAGAUCUCAAAGACAAACUCGCUGGGUAGGACUAUUUAUCGUGCAGCAUGAACUGAAAAAGGAACUCUUCUGUAUUUGCAUUGUUAUAUCAGGGAGUCGGGAUUGAAGAAUUCUUGUUAGCUCUGCCUCGGAUCGGAUGAUGUUGAGUUGAAGAUUGAACAUAGCAUCUGAUGAAAUCCAAGGUUCGCCAAGUGCUUUUAUUUUCAAAUAAGUAAUUCCCGUUUCAAGUAAUGAUACGAAUGAAAGGUCUAUGUAAGUCAAUCCGAUCCGACAAAUCUCAAUAUGCUCAGGAUGUGCUUCUGUAGAACUCGCGCGCCAAUCCUGGAAUACACGACAUGAUUUUUCAGGAGCGGCGUAUAUAGGGGUAUCUUUUUUUUUUUGGGGGGGGCUACCCAAGGGUGACGUCAAAUGAAUCUCAAUGGAAUUGUGGAAAUAUUGUACAAUUACACAACCAAGAUCUGUUCAUUUAAACGUAUCUUCCUAAUUCGAUUUUCCCUUUUUUACAUUUCCUACUUUUUCGCAUGGGGGGUCUUCCUCUGCUUACUAUGAAGCCACUCCUGAUUGGUCUAUUCUAGUAGACAUAGAAACUGUGGCAUGAUAGAAUGCUUCUAGAUCUAUAAUGUUUCAAUUCUUCGUAGUGACUUUUGCUUAAUGUUUUUUCAGGAUGUUCAUUGUCAAAGGUAUAGUACAUGUAUUUGCAGACGUCGUUUCUUUUAGGGGCGGGUACACUGUAGAAAGUGGCGGAGGGGCGGGGACGAAAUGUAUAUUAACAUGUGCAACAUGAAUCGAAAUCUUGUAAUUGCUUAUAAGACAGAGUGGUUGAUUGGACCAGGGGGCUGUAUGCAAACAGAGAGAUAUCAAUUUAAGCCACCGACUGUACCUUUUUGAACAUUGGUGCCCAUAGACUUACAUUAUUUUGCGAUUGAUUUCACACAUA